UCGGGCUACACGCGGGCUACAAUGGGUGGGACAAUGGGUAUCGACACCGAAAGGUGAAGGCAAUCUCCUAAACCCAUCCGUAGUUCGGAUUGUGGGCUGCAACUCGCCCACAUGAAGCUGGAAUCUGUAGUAAUCGUGUCUCAAAAUGGCACGGUGAAUAUGUCCCUGCUCCUU
rnacentral:rRNA from 1 species